rnacentral:rRNA from 1 species
AGCGCGGUAUACGGAGGGUGCGAGCGUUGUCCGGAUUUAUUGGGUUUAAAGGGUGCGUAGGCGGCCAUUUAAGUCAGCGGUGAAAGUCUGUGGCUCAACCAUGGAACUGCCGUUGAUACUGGGUGGCUUGAGUGUUGGUGGGGUACAUGGAAUUUAUGGUGUAGCGGUGAAAUGCAUAGAUACCAUAAGGAACACCGAUAGCGAAGGCAUUGUACUUACCAACAACUGACGCUGAGGCACGAAAGCGCGGGUAUCGAACAGGAUUAGAUACCCUGGUAGUCCGCGCCGUAAACGAUGAUCACUCGCUGUCAUGCCUAUAUGGUGUGGUGGCCAAGCGAAAGCGUUAAGUGAUCACACA